GCCACAUUAAGGAACUUGUAAUAUGACCAAAAUUGUCCAUCUUAGAGAUAUCUUAUACCCGAGGUUGAUAAACCUUUUCUGUAAAGGGCGAGUUUAGUCAACACUUUAGGCGUUUGGCGGCAUAUGAUCUCUGUAGCAAACUAUUGAACUCUGCCGUUAUGGUGUAAAAGCAGCAAUAGACGGUACAUAAACAGAUGGGCAUGGCUGCGUUCCAACAAAACUUUAUUUACAGAAAAACACUACGGCUCAGAAUUGGCCUGUGGCCUAUAGUUUUCUGAGCCCUGUCUAGGGCACCUCACCUACAAGCAACAAAAUUUUGGCAAAACAGUAAAGGUGGGGCAUGGAUGAGAAUCAAGACCUCAAGGCCCAUUUGGGAACCUCCAAAUGAAUUUUAUACAAUUAUCCUCUGUGAUGAAAUAUGAACAUGUUCUCUAGUUUCUGUUUUUGUUUGCCUGUUUAUUUUCAAAUGUGUUGAAGCCUUUCUUUGUUGAAGAGCAUAAAAAACAAAGCCAUUAAACUUUGUAUUUCCUACUAGGGAAGUCCCAAUCUACUGAUCCAGGGAUAAGUAUCUUUAUUUUACUGAGAUGGUCAUUAAAGAGCUCUGCAAGAUAUUCAUGUUUACUCAAAAUUUCCUCUGUCUAUACCGCCUCCCCAUCUUCAGACAAAACAGAAAGGAUAAAUAGAAUUCUCAAGUUAAAGUUAGCCAACUUUCUAAAGCACUUGAAUUUCCUGGGUCCAAAGUCCUGCCCUCAAUCUUGGUGACAGUAAAAUCAACACCUUUGGGAAUUCAUCAGCUCUCUCCUUAUGAGUUGUAACAGACUUAUGCAAAUAUCUAGGAAUAUCAUCUCUGAUCCUACACUCUGCCCUGUUAGAAGCAGAUACAGCCAAAUACUGUAAGAGAUUCAUACAAUAGGCCAAUCUUGUUAUCAACAUUCCCCUAAUCAAUCAACAACCUAAAAUCUCUAACUGGUUAUGAACCCCAAAGAGUUAUUUUUAUUUUUAUUUAUUUAUUUUUGAGAUGGAGUCUCGCUGUCGCCCAGGCUGGGGCACAGUGGAGCAAUCUCAGCUCAUCGCAACCUCCACCUCCCGGGUUUACGCCAUUCUCCUGCCUCAGCCUCCCAAGUAGCUGGGACUACAGGUGCCCGCCACCAUGCCCAGCUAAGUUUUUGUAUUUUUAGUAGAGAUGGGGUUUCACUGUGUUAGCCAGGAUGUUCUCGAUCUCCUGACCUCGUGAUCUGCCCGCCCUGGCGUCCCGAAGUGCUGGGAUUACAGGUGUGAGCCACUGCGCCCGGCCUCCAAAGAGUUAUUUUUAACUUAUCAGUGUUUCUCCCAUUUCAGAACAUUAGGAUUUUAACCUGCAUUUUAAAAACCACACAGAUUACUCAAAAGCAUCAUCUACUGUCUACAAAAACCUCAUAUUCCCAGUAGAAAUGAAAACUCAUAGCCCAAAGCAGAUUGCUUGAGGUGCGGAGUAAGAACCUUCUGAGGCAUAGACCUCUUUCCCUGGGUAGACAAACAGUUCCAAGAAAGAAAGGGUCACUGGGAGACAGAGACCCUUCUGCCCACCUCUUGUCUUUGGAAUUAGGCUUGGUCCUCCCAGACUUACUGACCCUUAAGUGACCCUUCCAAAUCCAGAUAAUCCUCUAAAAGGUCAAUCCACAAACCCAUCACCAUCAGCUCCAUCAGAGCCUGAAAUUGUCCUGGGCUGUGAUGAAGGGAAGCUGGGGCCCUUCAAGACUGUCCCCCCUUCCUCUCCAGUAGCGAUGGUCUUUUAGGUCUGGUGGGAGGGUCUGGCAGAAAUGCCCAGGCCUGGGAGUCAGGAGGGUCUCUAUUCUUUCCUAAGAUGGGAUUGUUGAAGGAAGAAGGAAUUCAUUUAGAACGAGCCUGGACCAAAAUUUGCUUUGUUCUUUUGAGAUCUAUUCUACUUUGCAAAGGUACUCCAAAGGGAAUGCUAAAAAUGGUGCAAGGGUAAUGCAAAGGUAAUGGAAACAUAUGAGGGAGGAUAAACCCUAGAAAAUCCGAAGCUGGUUCCCAGACAGCAGCGUUGACUGGAGGGGAGAUCAACAGAGACAAACUUAAUCCCUGUCCUCAGAGAGACCUGCCCACUGGGCUUUAACGAAAGCCUCGGCUCUUUUUCUCUUUUCCUGGAGAAUUUUGACAAAAUAGCCCUGAGCCCCAUGAGGCAGGGGAACAAAAGGUCCUCCCCCAGCUAGAUUGGGGGCCUUUGUGAGUCUCAUGAGCACUGCAUCUGGAGGGGCUGAGUAGGGAGGGCAAUUGGGAACAGACCAAGUUUCGGGAGGGAGACAGAGUGUUUCCAGAGCCUGAGCGAACCCUAGAGAUCAUCUAAUUCGACUCCUUUGCUGCACAGUGAUUGACACUGAGGACCAGAGAGAGAGAGAGCAAGACCUUCUCAUGUCCCCUAGGACCCACCACAUUUCAAAUGCACCACCCCUGACGCCCAGGCUCACCCUCUUCCCAGAUCUCAGCCUGAACGGGGGAGUUUAGGGUUCAGUGUUCAUUCGUUCAUUAAUUGAUGUGUUUAUUGAAGAGCAGCUUUAUGCCUAGCCUUGUGUAAGAUCUGUGGAAGAGUCAGGGAAACUCACCAUAUGAUCUUUGCCCUCCAGGAACUUAAAUCCUAAACACACACACACAUACACACACACACACACACGUAUGCAUACAUGAAAACACACACAGAAACACACAUGCACACUCACCCCCAUGAACAAUGAACUUGUGAUAGUGAACAGUACAUAGUCUCUUCCAUAAUGAACCCUAUGGACAGAAAGUGGCAUAGGAGAUGAAAGCACGAGAAAUUGGUGUUUGCUGGGGUAGGGGUCACUGUAAUUCCCUAAGAACACUUCUUACCCUGUACCUUGAUAACAGCCUAUUUCAUGUGUCUGUGUGCCCAGCUCCCCAGCUCUGGCUUGCACAAUGCUAGUAUCGUUGAGAUUGAGUUGAAUUCAUUCGAAUUGAAAUGGGACUUUUUGGGCAGAACUGGGCUCCCCUGUGAGUAUGGGACGGAGUCACUGGGGGCUAAAGGAGAGAAAUGAGGGGCUCUCUCUGCCUCGUCUCCUGGAAUUCAGACCCUGUCUGGAGCUUGAGGCCUUCCUCUGGGAUGUCCAGGCUCUAGUGAGCUUCUGGGGAACCCAAGGGCCAUGAAUCGCAACAGCAGCAAUCUCCAGACUGCCCUGUGAGGCGGGGUGUGCAGUGAUGAGCUUCUCCAGUGUGGAGCAGUGAGUGUGACAGGAAGGCACUUCCUAAUCAUCCGCAGAAUUGUGGCUGUUCUCCAAGACUUACACGUCACGAGAAGGAGGAGCACCGUUCAUGCCUCAUUUGGCAAAUACCCAGCACGGUGUCUAGCACAGGGCCACAAAAGGAAGAGGCACAGUCCUUUCUCUGUUGGAAAGACAAGGAAAAAGUAUCUGAAAGUGAAAGAACAAAUCGAAGAUGAAUAAUGAGGUAGGCUUUCGCUCACGGGACUGGCCUUGCUCAUGGUUGGUGUCAGCAGGACUUUCCCUGCAGAACAGGGUCAUCCACCCACACUGGCCACAGAGGUGCCACCAGUGAUGCUGCCAUCUCCUUAAACAUUUGUGGACUCAUCUUGGGGACUCACCUUUUGAACCUCAACACAUUCUUUUGAUUAUCCUCAAGAUGCAAAUCUCUGUCCUUUGUGGGUGAAUAGAAUUUUUGGAAAUUAUGGGUCAAAAGUGACCCCUAGCUGACACAGUUCAUUCGAUUCAGUUCUGCUCAAUUCAACACAUAAUUAUGGGGUGUCUGCAGCAUGUGAGGCACGGUAGUAGGCUCUGGGAAUUCGAUAAACCCCAAAUCUGCCCUCUUGGAGCUGACAGCGUGGCAGGAAAGAUAGACACUAAGUGUAAAGAUGAGUAAUGGCACGCGUUGCCAGUGUAUCAAAGGGGUGGGUGUUGUGGGAACGCUAACAAGGGCGGGGCAUCCGAACAGACACCUGACGUGUGAGCGGCAGUUGGUCAGACAGAAGGGAAGGAAAGAGAGAGAGUAUCCUAGGUUGGAAAAAAAAGCAUAAAGGAUAACAAUACUAGCUAUCAUUUACUGAACACAAACCGUGCAUCAGGCGCUUUUCCAAGUAGUUUAAGUUUGUAUCGAUGAUCACAUUAAAUCCUCACAAUAAACUUACGUGGUAGGUGCCAUUAUUAUCCCCCAAAUUAUAGAUGAGAAAACAGAGGCAAGGACAGAAAAAGCAACUUUCCCAAUUAGGAAACAGCAGAACUGGAAUUCAAACCCAAGCUCUCUGUUCCAGAGCCUCCUCUUAACUGCUGUGCUAGAGAGCUUCCACAUGUGCAGAUGGAAUGGCACCAUUUGGAUAGGAAUAACGAGAAUUCCACUCAAGAGUGUGGGGUGGGAGUGGGGAGGUGGGGAGGAGACUGUGAAAGUAUGAAUUGGUGGACUCUUUUAGAAAAUAACGUGGCAACUUAUGAGUGCAGAGACAUAAAUUGUGCCUACUUUUUGACGCAGUAUUUUUACUUUUGGAAAUGGAUCCAAACGAAACAAUCAGAAAUGUGCAUAAAGGUGUACCACGGGAAAUGACCUAAACAUCCGUCAACAGGCGUUGGUUAAAUACAUUAUGUCACAUUUAUGCAACUAAAUUUUAUGCAGCCUUUAAGAAGUAAAGAUCAUGACUGCUCCUCUUGGUUUGUGUCUUAGGCAUGCUUUGAAGAAGCAUGAGAGAAGUCUGUGAACAGAAGGGGUUGGGCCCCUCUGUCAGCACCCCUGGGUAGUUCUUGGGGAGGCAGGGAGGCCAGGAAGAGGGGAAGUGAGACUCAGCUCCAAGUAAUCCUGACCCAGGGGAGGGGAGGGUGCGACUGGCCAGCGGACAGCCUGAGCUCUGGCCCUGGCUCCAGGCUCUGGGUUUAAAGAGCUUUAAAAGCUUAUUAAAAAGGUUCCUUCGACAUCAAAUGGCUCUUAAAAAUCAAUAUUUUGAUGAUUUAAGUGCAAGAGAAUCAGAAACAUAUGGAUCAAAUUGCCCUAAAAUUAUACACACUUAAAAAAAUGUGUUGGUCUUUAGCAAGAUCCAAAUAUUUGAAAAACAGAGACAUUUUCCUCAUCUCCUGACAGAGCUCUGCUAGGUCAACUUGAGGAGUCCAGAGAGGUGCUACUCAGGAGGCUGAGGCAGGAGAAUCGCUUGAACCUGGGAGGCGGAGUUUGCGGCAGGAGAAUCGCUUGAACCUGGGAGGCGGAGUUUGCAGUGAGCCGAGAUCACGGCAUUGCACUCCAGCCUCAGCAACAAGAGCAAAACUCCGUCUUAAAAAAAAAAAAAAAUGGCCCAGAGCAGGAAAACCAAAGGUAUAAGGUUGGGACCAGAGGAAAAGCUGUCACACACAUGCAGAAACCACGGCCCAGGGAAGACGCAGCUUGAGCAAGGUCACCGGCAGUUUCCUUUGCAGUAAAAUGGGAAUAAAAAGAAAAUCUACGUAACAGUAGAUAUUCUGUGAGGAUUACGUGAAUUCAUAUUUGAAGAGUGAGUAGAAGGGUUCCUGGCACAAGCUCUACAAGUGUGGCUGGAAUGAAUAUGAUGAUGAGGAUGAAGAUGAGGAUGGCGGGGCUGGAGCUCAAGUGCCAUACUGUGUCCUGGAGCAGAAGCCACGUGUUGAGGACAGUCUGGACCCUUAACGAGGGUUGAGCCACGACACCAGCCUGUGACUGUUUACCUCUUGAGUUUGUUUACAGGAGAAGAAAAUAAACUCUCACCUUGUUUAACACACCAUCCUGUUGGCUUUUCAGUUUGCUUGUAGCCCGAUCUAAUCCUAACUGAUACAGGAACAUUGUAGGUUCAACUCACAUCCCUGUCCCCUGCACCAUGUUGUCGCUCUUUAAGAUAAUGUCUCACUGUUCCUACUUGGGUUGUACAUUCCUUGAGGACGGAAAAGCUUCCCACUCACAGUAGGUGCCCA
rnacentral:lncRNA from 1 species